GCCUAGGUGGCUCAGUUGUUAAGCAUCUGACUUUGGCUCAGGUCAUGAUCUCAUGGUAGGUGAGUUCGAGUCCCACAUUGGGUG
rnacentral:tRNA from 1 species